AGAGUUUGAUCCUGGCUCAGGAUGAACGCUAGCGGCAGGCCUAACACAUGCAAGUCGAGGGGUAGCGGGGUGCUUGCACCGCCGACGACCGGCGCACGGGUGAGCAACGCGUUAUAGAACCUACCCGUUACAGGGGGAUAGCCCAGAGAAAUUUGGAUCAAUACCCCGUGGCGCCCCGGACCGGCAUCGGUCCGGGGCUAAAGAACUUCGGUAACGGAUGGCUAUGCGUCCCAUUAGUUAGUUGGCAGGGUAACGGCCUACCAAGACGGCGAUGGGUAGGGGCCCUGAGAGGGGGAUCCCCCACACUGGUACUGAGACACGGACCAGACUCCUACGGGAGGCAGCAGUGAGGAAUAUUGGACAAUGGGCGGUAGCCUGAUCCAGCCAUGCCGCGUGCAGGAAGAAUGUCCUAUGGACUGUAAACUGCUUUUGUACGGGAAGAACCGGGGGCACGUGUGCCCCCUGACGGUACCGUAAGAAUAAGGAUCGGCUAACUCCGUGCCAGCAGCCGCGGUAAUACGGAGGAUCCGAGCGUUAUCCGGAAUCAUUGGGUUUAAAGGGUCCGUAGGCGGGCCGUUAAGUCAGGGGUGAAAGUCUGCGGCUCAACCGUAGAAUUGCCCUUGAUACUGAUGGCCUUGAGUUAUGGUGAAGCAGCCAGAAUAUGUGGUGUAGCGGUGAAAUGCAUAGAUAUCACAUGGAAUACCGAUUGCGAAGGCAGGCUGCUAACCAUAUACUGACGCUGAUGGACGAAAGCGUGGGUAGCGAACAGGAUUAGAUACCCUGGUAGUCCACGCCGUAAACGAUGGAUACUAGCUGUCCGGCGGCAACGCUGGGCGGCCCAGCGAAAGUGAUAAGUAUCCCACCUGGGGAGUACGUCCGCAAGGAUGAAACUCAAAGGAAUUGACGGGGGCCCGCACAAGCGGUGGAGCAUGUGGUUUAAUUCGAUGAUACGCGAGGAACCUUACCAGGGCUUAAAUGUAGUCUGACAGCCUUAGAGAUAGGGCCUUCCUCGGACAGAUUACAAGGUGCUGCAUGGUUGUCGUCAGCUCGUGCCGUGAGGUGUCAGGUUAAGUCCUAUAACGAGCGCAACCCCUGCCGUUAGUUGCCAGCAUGUCAUGAUGGGGACUCUAACGGGACUGCCGGUGCAAACCGCGAGGAAGGUGGGGACGACGUCAAAUCAUCACGGCCCUUACGUCCUGGGCCACACACGUGCUACAAUGGCCGGUACAGAGGGCUGCCACCCCGCGAGGGGGAGCGAAUCUCCAAAACCGGUCACAGUUCGGAUCGGGGCCUGCAACUCGGCCCCGUGAAGCUGGAAUCGCUAGUAAUCGGAUAUCAGCCAUGAUCCGGUGAAUACGUUCCCGGGCCUUGUACACACCGCCCGUCAAGCCAUGGAAGCCGGGAGUGCCUGAAGUCCGUCACCGCGAGGAGCGGCCUAGGGCAAGAUCGGUAACUAGGGCUAAGUCGUAACAAGGUA
rnacentral:rRNA from 1 species